AUUAUUUUUUCCCUGCACACAUCUCCAUCUCCGCCUCGCCCCCACUGGUCUCCUCUCCACCCCUUCGCUUCGCCGCUUCCUGCACUGCUCUGCCGCUUCUCCAUGGUGGUGUUCUUGCUCUACUGUUUUACACGCAUGCCUGAUGGAAAUCCGUGUGCUGUGCUGGUUAGGAUAACAGCAUGACUUUUGUUCUUGCAAUUGCGGGAUUGUCUUUCGCUAGAUUUUUCAUGCUCUGGAUGACUUGUUAGUAGAGAAGCUGGCAAACUUAAGCUACGCACUUUGGUGAGAAGUUGGAAAACUGGUGUCUCCCUUGUAGUAGUAGUUUGUUUGUUUAUCAUCUCCAUAGUCCAUAUGAUGUAUGCUGCAGCCUGCUUUACUUGUCUCCUUUUAGAGGCUACUGAAUUGGGUGCUACCCCAAGGUUUUUAAACCAGUGCUAUUGUAAUUUUUAUGUUCUAAUUAAUGUAAAUUAAAUCCA
rnacentral:sRNA from 1 species